AAGUCAUUAGAUUAAUGGUAGUAUCGUGGAUCUUACACAUCCAAGAUGUAGGUUCAAUUCCUACAUGACUUA
rnacentral:tRNA from 1 species